AAACCGUAAACAACCCCUCGCAACCUUCCUCUCUUUUCUCUCUCAAGCAUUCUUUCACUCGGCCCCCCACUCCAGCUCUCUCUGGUUUUUUCUUUCUUAGUUCUCCCAGAACCUCCCUUUUCUCAGCCUGUUUGCUUCUGUUUUGCUUCCCCUCCUUUGCAGAUUUCAGCCGUCACUCUCUAUCUCUCUAUGAUUUUUCUUUUGCCGUUCUUCCACCCUUCUCCUACUCUCUACCCAGCCGUCAAAUCCCUCCUAAACCUCUUUCCGUUGCUCUCUCCUUCGGUUGCUGGUUCCUUCCUCUCCAGCUCUCAGACCCUUUUUGCUUAGCCGUCAGCCAGAUCCUCUCCAGUUAUUCUUGCUCAACUUAGCCGCCCCCCCUCUGGUUUCUUU
rnacentral:lncRNA from 1 species